UACGAGUGCCUCGAGCGUUAUCCGGAAUCAUUGGGCGUAAAGGGUGUGUAGGAGGUUUUGUUAGUCUUCUGUCAAAUUCUUCGGCUUAACCGGGGGCUCGCAGAGGAAACGGCAAAACUAGAGGAUGGGAGAGGUGAAUGGAACUCUAAGUGUAGGGGUGAAAUCCGUUGAUAUUUAGGGGAACACCAAAAGCGAAGGCAAUUCACUGGACCCACUCCUGACUCUGAAACACGAAAGCGUGGGUAGCGAAUGGG
rnacentral:rRNA from 1 species